CCGGCGACCGGCGCACGGGUGAGUAACACGUAUGCGACCUGCCCCCCGCAGGGGGAUAACCGGGAGAAAUCCCGACUAAUACCGCGUAACGCCGCGGACCUGCAUGGGUCUGCGGCCAAAGGAAGCGAUUCCGGCGGGGGAUGGGCAUGCGGCGCAUUAGCUAGUCGGCGGGGUAACGGCCCACCGUGGCGACGAUGCGUAGGGGUUCUGAGAGGAAGGCCCCCCACACUGGAACUGAGACACGGUCCAGACUCCUACGGGAGGCAGCAG
rnacentral:rRNA from 1 species